AUCUACGGCAAUGCCACCCUGAAUAAGCCCGAUCUUGUCUGAUCUCGAAAGCUAAGCUAAGCAGGGUCGGGCCUGGAUAGCACUUGGAUGGGAGACGAUCUAGGAAGACCGAGUGCUGUAAGCA
rnacentral:rRNA from 1 species